CUUUAAAAGUGAGUAGUCACCUCUGCCACAAGCAGAGGAGGAAAGUCCGGGCAGCAUAAAGACAUGAAAGUCUCUAACGGAGACCGAGGCGAAACCUAACAAGAUCGUCUUAGGGAAAGUGCCACAGAGACAAUACUAAUCCCGCCUAGGCGGGAUAAAAGGUGAAAAGUCCCACUUAAGUGGGAACACUUCGGGCGACCGAAGACAACGUCUGCUUCCUCAGGGCUAAACCCUGACUGGCAGUCCGUGGGCAAACCCUUUCAGAGCUGCAAGGUGAGACUGGCAUGUAGGAACAAACCUGUGUCUUUUUACAGGCCGACAUGCUCACCGCUCGAUCCCGCCAAGGCGGGACUAGAUAGAUGACUACCUCGACAAAACCCGGCUUAUAGCUAUUUGAAGAACA
rnacentral:RNase_P_RNA from 6 species